GUGGCUGUAGCUCAAAGGAUAGAGCGCCCUGAUGACUCGGAGGCAGGUUGUGGGUUCGAAUCCCACCAGCCACU
rnacentral:tRNA from 1 species